UGGGGAAUAUUGGACAAUGGGCGCAAGCCUGAUCCAGCAAUGCCGCGUGUGUGAAGAAGGCCUUCGGGUUGUAAAGCACUUUUAUCAGGAGCGAAAUACCACGGGCUAAUACCUUGUGGGGCUGACGGUACCUGAGGAAUAAGCCCCGGCUAACUCCGUGCCAGCAGCCGCGGUAAUACGGAGGGGGCAAGCGUUGUCCGGACUUACUGGGCGUAAAGGGUGCGUAGGCGGCCUGCUGCGUCGGUGCUGAAAGCGCCCGGCUUAACCGGGCGAGGCGUGCCGAUACGAGCGGGCUGGAGCCUUGGCGAGGGUGGCGGAACUCCUGGUGUAGUGGUGAAAUGCGUAGAGAUCAGGAAGAACACCCGUGGCGCAAGCGGCCACCUGGCCAAGAGCUGACGCUGAGGCACGAGAGCGUGGGGAGCGAA
rnacentral:rRNA from 1 species